AGAUUGAACGCUGGCGGCAGGCCUAACACAUGCAAGUCGAGCGGUAGAGAGGUGCUUGCAUCUCUUGAGAGCGGCGGACGGGUGAGUAAUGCCUAGGAAUCUGCCUAGUGGUGGGGGAUAACGUUCGGAAACGGACGCUAAUACCGCAUACGUCCUACGGGAGAAAGCGGGGGACCUUCGGGCCUCGCGCCAUUAGAUGAGCCUAGGUCGGAUUAGCUAGUUGGUGAGGUAAUGGCUCACCAAGGCGACGAUCCGUAACUGGUCUGAGAGGAUGAUCAGUCACACUGGAACUGAGACACGGUCCAGACUCCGUACGGGAGCAGCAGGUGGGAAUGUAGGACAGUGGGACGAAAGCCUGAUCCAGCCAGUGCCGCGUGUGUAGAAG
rnacentral:rRNA from 1 species